rnacentral:rRNA from 1 species
GACGAACGCUGGCGGCGCGCCUAACACAUGCAAGUCGAACGAGCGAGAGAGAGCUUGCUUUCUCGAGCGAGUGGCGAACGGGUGAGUAACGCGUGAGGAACCUGCCUCAAAGAGGGGGACAACAGUUGGAAACGACUGCUAAUACCGCAUAAGCCCACAGCUCGGCAUCGAGCGGAGGGAAAGGAGUGAUCCGCUUUGAGAUGGCCUCGCGUCCGAUUAGCUAGUUGGUGAGGUAACGGCCCACCAAGGCAACGAUCGGUAGCCGGACUGAGAGGUUGAACGGCCACAUUGGGACUGAGACACGGCCCAG